rnacentral:miRNA from 1 species
CACCUCAUCGACUGGAAGGAAUCCCUUCUGGUCGAUGAGGUUGUUACACCUCAUCGACCGGAAGGAAUCCCUUCUGGUCGAUGAGGUU